rnacentral:lncRNA from 1 species
UGCCGCCACCUUCCCCCUCCGCUCCCGUCCCUCUGCGAGAGCCUCCAGCGUUCUGCUGACUGACAACAUCCCCCGGCCGCUCCCCGGGGGUAGACUCCCUUCAGACAUCGUUCGGAGGCUCCGCGGAGAGGGAAACGGGGUCGGACUCUGCUCGAACUUAGUUCGCAGACGUGGCGGUCGUGUCCGAAAGCCCUGACCCCGCUCGCCAACUUGUCACGGAUACCUUAGCAUCAUGAGAGUCCGCCCCUGACCCCUUCUUAGACAUCUUAGCUGUCAAGGAGGAAAUAUUUUAUUAUUUAUUUUUAACGUGGACUUAAUGUGAUAAAAUUGGCGUCCCAGAUUUCAGGAAGGAACGUGGGUUGGCCUACUUGACCCGGGUCAAAGAACUGUUUGCAAUUGCCUGUCGGUAGAAGAAAAAUCAAAACUACCCGGUGUUCCAUCUCAUUUUAAGACUUUACACCUUGCAGGCCACAUGUCGGUUAAACCACUGUUAAGGAAUCGAACUCAGUCUUCUGAACUUCCCUCCGAGGCAAAGCUCCUCUCUGCCAGGCUGGACCCUCUUUCUGGAGGGAUUUCAUUUUGGAAGACAUGGAUCUUGCUGCUAAUGAGAUCAGCAUCUAUGACAAACUUUCAGAGACUGUUGAUUUGGUGAGACAGACAGGCCAUCAGUGUGGAAUGUCCGAGAAGGCGAUUGAAAAGUUUAUCAGACAGCUACUCGAAAAGAAUGAACCUCAAAGGGGACCACCCCAGUACCCUCUCCUUAUAGCCAUGUAUAAGGUCCUCCUAACUCUGGGAUUAAUCUUGUUCACUGCCUACUUUGUAAUUCAGCCUUUUAGCUCAUUAGCACCCGAGCCAGUGCUUU